rnacentral:rRNA from 1 species
UACGGAGGGUGCGAGCGUUGUCCGGAAUCACUGGGCGUAAAGGGCGCGUAGGCGGCCUGAUAAGUAGGGGGUGAAAUCCUGCGGCUUAACCGCAGGGCUGCCUUCUAAGCUGUCAGGCUGGAGCACAGUAGAGGCAGGUGGAAUUCCCGGUGUAGCGGUGGAAUGCGUAGAGAUCGGGAAGAACAUCAGUGGCGAAGGCGGCCUGCUGGGCUGUUGCUGACGCUGAGGCGCGACAGCGUGGGGAGCAAACAGG